ensembl:lincRNA
GAAUUUAAUUAACAUUUAAAUUAAAAUUAAUAAAAGGUUAAAUUUCUUUCAUACCUUCCUCCUUUGACCCAGCACCCCCUUUUUAUUUUCUACCUUCUCACCAAUGACCCUGCAUUGCACAUGUCGUCUUUUCUACUGGACUGUGAGCCAUCUGAGGACCAGGACUACCUUAUUCAAUGUUGCAGCAGGUCAACCAGCAUGAAAAAGCUUCGAGGAGGUUGAGUGAUGAGAACAUGAAGAGCAAACAUGCAUCUGGCUUCUGGGUACCACCUAGUAAAGGAGUCAGAGCUGCCGUGAAUGGCCACUGCCUAAUGGACUCCAGACGCGUGAGAGUUCAGCAAGGCUGCCAGACACAGAUUCAACGGACACCGUCAAUAACCAGCCAGGAGCUCCGGUGGAACACGAGCUGCCACUCAUAUCAUCCGACACCUCUCAAGUUUCUGGGAAUGGAAAGGAAAAGGAAGGCAUACAAGUUUAUGGAUAAAUCAUUCAAAUUCUAUAAAAGGCAUAGAAGACAUGAAUAAUGAAUGAAUGGAAUUAUCUGAUAUUGUGAAUCUGUCAGUUCUCCCCUAAAUUCAUCUAUAUAUUCCAUAUGUUCCCAGAAAGCCCCAGCAGAAGUUUUUGAGACAGACUGAUGCUAAAACUGACAUUAAAGAAUUAAGUUUCACAAAUAGUUGUCAAUUUUAUGCACACACGCACGCGCGUGCACAAAGAGGAGCAAGGAGAGGAGGGCAUAUACUAGCAGAGCAGCAGCACAACAUGUGCAACAGAUAAGAAUGCCCGGGAAUAGAGAUGUGUGUAAGGAAGACAUCCUGCAGAAGUGGGGAGCAGAUAAAUUGUUUAGUAUAUGGUGCUAAGAAAGCUGGCUCCUUGAAACUAGGAAGGAAAAAAUAUGCCCGUAGGGUAGAGGGAGAUUUUUUGCAACAAGACCAUCUGAGCGCAGACGAUAAGGGAGGAGAGUGUUGGGUCUGACUACACAAAUGUUACAGAUCUCUGUUCAUCACGGGCACAGAAAAUGUUGUUAAUAGGUGUGUGCCAUUCGAAGAGAAUGUUCAAAGUUUAAAAUCAUUAGGAUUAAUGUCUAGAUUAAAAAGGAAUGCCUAUUGGGGUGCCUGGGUGGUUCUGUUGGUUAAGGACCCAACUCCUGAUUGCGGCUCAGGUCAUGAUCUCAGGGUUGUGAGAUCAAGCCCCAUGUCAGGUUCCAUGCUUGGUGCAGAUUCAGCUUGAGAUUCAUUCUCUCUCUCUCUCUCUCUCUCUCUCUGCCCUGCUAGUGCUCUUGUUCUCUCUCUCAAAAAAAAAAAAAAAAAUCCUAUUAAUCAUUGAAAAGGCAGGAAAAUGGGUAAAGUAUAUGAAUAGGCAACCCACAAAAGGCAGAAAUCUAAAUGCCUAAAGCUCAAGAGAUUCCCAACCUCCCCUGUAGUGAGAAGCAUCAGCAUUAAAACAAAAGUGUCUUGCCACUUAAUAGCCACUCAAUGGAAAAAAUUUAACAUUAGAGGACUGCAGGAUUUCAACAGGUUGAAAGAAACCAGAACACAUACGCUUAGCUGGCAGGAGUGGGCCUGGCACAGUCUUUCUGGAAAGUAAUCUGGCAGCUCUUCGGGGAAUUAGAGCUGGGUAUCCUACAAUACAGCGUCUCUCUCCUGAUAACCUAUGUCAUCUUGCAUGACAAAAUCUUCCCUAAGCCUAUAUGGCUCUGCAAAGAAAAUGUACGCUGCAGACUUCUUCAUAGCAGCAAGUAGCUGCCCGUCAUCAGAGGGAACGUCACAGGGCUGCUAGAAGCAACACCCUAGGGAGCAUAGCUAGAAGGAGCAAGUAAAAAAGUAAGAAACAUAAUGAGAUACUAUCAUGUAAGCUAAAAGCACACACAUGCCAAAAAUACCGCUACACGUAGCACAGAUAUACGGAGAACAUCUAUCAAACAUCCUAGAGGGCUGCCUACUUAACGUUAGUGUAUAUUAAUGGGAAAUAGGGGAACCUGAAGCAAAAUAAGAAAGAGACCUUGUGGGAGGAAAUGUCAUAGUGCACCAUCAACUCAGAGAGAUGUCUCAUUAAAUCAAAGCUUUGCACCUAAAAUCCAAAGAGUUUAAAAAAAAAAAAAAAAAAAGGAGACACCCAAUCCAGAACAGAGUGUUACCAAAGGCGCUCUUGGAGCUCAGCAGGCGCUAUUCCUGAGCAUGUGGAAACGCAUGAGCCCCACGGGACUGAAAAGGCAGAUUGAGUCCCUGUUCUUAAAUUCAUGAACCAUGGUUCUUCCGGAGUGUUCUUUCAAUCUCUUGACGUUCUUUUCCAUUCUGCAACACUAGGGAAGAUGAGCCACGCGGGGAGUGGAGGGCACGGUUUCUCCAUCCGGAGAAUCUGGUGAUAAACUCCUUCCUGAUUGCGGUAUCCUAGAAACGCUCGCUUUGUGUUCUUGCCUGAGUGAUGGAGUCCGUGUUUUUCCUUUACAUGCUGGCAGUAGCAAAUGUCUUACCAUGGCUGCUGUCCAGAGAAUUCGAAGCCAGAGCUUUGCUCUGGGCGAGCCUCCAGAAGAGUAAUUUGGAUCCCGUAGCUGAGAAGCCCUCAACUUUAAGGAGGACCCAGAGGCUAUGCUAACUGCCUCUUCAAGCCUUUAUAAGUUGAGGAGGGAGAGAGAGGGGCAGCCCUCAGUCAUUCCCAAGUCAGCCUUUCCCAGCCAUCGUGUGCUGGCCUUACUUUGAUUUCUGUUCUUUUUACAGGAUCCCCAGGUGCUUAAGAGGAUUUCAAAAGCAAGAGGUGAAACAUUACCCGAGAUAGUUUAUGUUUUUGUUUUAGAUCUUCU